rnacentral:rRNA from 1 species
GUUGACCUCGGAUCAGGUAGGAGUACCCGCUGAACUU